rnacentral:misc_RNA from 1 species
GAUGAAGAACGUAGCGAAAUGCGAAAAGUAAUGUGAAUUGCAGAAUUUAGUGAAUCAUCGAAUCUUUGAACGCAUAUUGCGCCCGCCAGCACUCUGGCGGGCAUGCCUGUUCGAGCGUCAUUUCAACACUCAGGUCUUGGUACCUGGCGUUGGGGCGCUGCGGCCCGACCCGCAGGCCCCCAAAUAUAGCGGCGGAUCCGCCUCGGCCCUGAGCGAAGUAGUUACCAUUACCGGUUGCCAUUGCCAUACAUUUAACGCUCCGGCGGCCGUGGCGCUCUCGCCCAAGAGCACUACCAGUAAAUUACUUAAUAGCCUCUGCGAUUCAAAAAAGUUGACCUCGGAUCAGGUAGGACUACCCGCUGAACUUAAGCAUAUCAAUAAGCGGAGGA